AGCUCAGUUGGUUAGAGCGCUGGAUUGUGGUUCCAGAGUUCGCGGGUUCAAAUCCCGUCU
rnacentral:tRNA from 1 species